rnacentral:rRNA from 1 species
CAAAGGUUUGGUCCUGGCCUUAAGAUCACCCAUUACUCAGCACACACAUGCAAGUCUCCGCACCCCCGUGAAAACGCCCUUAAACUCCCACCCCGGAAUAAGGUGCCGGCAUCAGGCACAACGAUUUGCCCAAGACGCCUAGCUACGCCACCCCCACACGGGACUUCAGCAGUGGUUAAUAUUGAAUAUUAGCGACAGCUUGAUUCAGCCAGAGUAAAAAGAGCCGGCCAAUCUGGUGCCAGCCGCCGCGGUUACACCACGUGGCUCAAGUUGAUCUCCAUCGGCGUAAAGCGUGCUUUAAGCAAUCAAGACAUUAGAGUUAAACUUGGAUUAAGCUGUAAUACGCUUGUUACACGAGAAACUCAGAAGCGAAAGCUACUCUAACCCCGUCCGCUUGAACUCACGACAGCUGGGACACAAACUGGGAUUAGAUACCCCACUAUGCCCAGCCG